CCUACGGGGUGCAGCAGUGAGGAAUAUUGGUCAAUGGCCGCAAGGCUGAACCAGCCAAGCCGCGUGAGGGACGACGGUCCCAAGCAUUGUAAACCUCUUUUGUCAGGGGGCAAAAUACGCCUCGCGUGCCUUUCCGAGUGUACUUGAAGAAAAAGCAUCGGCUAACUCCGUGCCAGCAGCCGCGGUAAUACGGGGGAUGCAAGCGUUAUCCGGAUUUAUUGGGGUUAAAGGGUGCGUAGGCGGACGGUUAAGUCAGCGGGAAAAGACCGGGGCUCAACCGCGUCGAGCCGUUGAAACUGGUUGUGUUGAGUGGGCGAGAGGUAUGCAGAAUGCGUGGUGUAGCGGUGAAAUGCUUAGAUAGCACGCAGAACUCCGAUUGCGAAGGCAGCAUACCGGCGGCGAACUGACGCUGAGGCACGAAAGUGUGGGUAUCGAACAGGAUUAGAUACCCUGGUAGUC
rnacentral:rRNA from 1 species